UUUGUCUUCCAGGGAUAACCCCUGUGACAUUUUACAAAAAUCAAUUAACGGAGGGAAUUGGCCAACAAAAAUGGCAUAGAAGAAAAACAAAAAGUGGUAACACAGGAAGUGUUCAAACUGAAUGUAAACAGAGUUUAAAAAAUAUAGCUGAGCAAGGAAAUGUUGACACUGGAGCCAUUCUGGAGACUCAAGAUGAGCAACCAAAGCAACUUAGUGAAGAUUAGCCCUGAGCUAACUACUGCCAAUCCUCCUCUUUUUGCUGAGGAAGACUGGACCUGAGCUAACAUCCAUGCCCAUCUUCCUCUACUUUAUACGUGGGACGCCUACCACAGCAUGGCUUGCCAAGUGGUACCAUGUCUGCACCUGGGAUCCGAACCUGCGAACUCCAGGCCACCGAGAAGUGGAAUGUGCGAACUUAACCGCUGCACCACCAGGCCGGCCCUGACCAUAAUUUCUUCAAGUAUUCUUUCUGUACCUUUCUCUCCUCUACUCUCCUUCUAUGGUACAUUUGUAGGCAUAUCACAGGUCUGUGUGGCUCUGUUCAUUUUUCUUCGUUCUUUUUUCUUCUUCCUCAGACUGGAUAAUCUCAAUUGACCUGCCUUCAGAUUCAGUCUUUCCCUUUUCUGUCUGCUCAGAUCUGCUGUUGAGCCCUUUUAGUGAACAUUUCAUUUUAGUUAUUGCACUUUUCAACACCAG
rnacentral:lncRNA from 1 species